GGGCCGUGAGAGCGGUAGCCNNGGAGAUGGGCACUGAGACAAGNNCCCAGGUCCUACGGGGCGCAGCAUGCGCGAAAACUCCACAAUGCGCGAAAGCGUGAUGGGGCUACCCCGAGUGCCGUCCGCUGAGGAUGGCUUUUCUCUGGUGUAAGGGGCCGGAGGAAUAAGGGGAGGGCAAGCCUGGUGUCAGCCGCCGCGGUAAUACCAGCUCCCCGAGUGGUAGGGAUAAUUAUUGGGCUUAAAGCGUCCGUAGCCAGCUUAACAAGUCUUUCGUUAAAUCCAGCGAUUCAAUCGUUGGACUGCGGGAGAUACUGUUAGGCUAGGGGGCGGAAGAGGCCGACGGUAUUCUCGGAGUAGGGGUGAAAUCCUAUAAUCCCGAGAGGACCACCAGUGGCGAAGGCGGUCGGCUAGAACGCGCCCGACGGUGAGGGACGAAAGCUGGGGGAGCGAACCGGAUUAGAUACCCGGGUAGUCCCAGCUGUAAACUAUGCGGGCUAGGUGUUGGGGCGGCUACGAGCCGCCUCGGUGCCGCAGGGAAACCGUUAAGCCCGCCGCCUGGGAAGUACGGCCGCAAGGCUGAAACUUAAAGGAAUUGGCGGGGGAGCAC
rnacentral:rRNA from 1 species